rnacentral:rRNA from 1 species
GACGAACGCUGGCGGCGUGCUUAACACAUGCAAGUCGAACGAUGAAGCCGGAGCUUGCUCUGGUGAAUUAGUGGCGAACGGGUGAGUAACACGUGAGUAACCUGCCCUUGACUCUGGGAUAACUGCGGGAAACUGUAGCUAAUACCGGAUACGACCCUCGAAGGCAUCUCCUGGGGGUGGAAAGAAUUUCGGUCAAGGAUGGACUCGCGGCCUAUCAGCUAGUUGGUGAGGUAAAGGCUCACCAAGGCGACGACGGGUAGCCGGCCUGAGAGGGUGAGCGGCCACAAUGGGACUGAGACACGGCCCAGAGUCCUACGGGAGGCAGCAGUGGGGAAUAUUGCACAAGGGCGCAAGCCUGAUGCAGCAACGCCGCGUGAGGGGUGACGGCCUUCGGGUUGUAAACCUCUUUUAGCAGGGAAGAAGCGAAAGUGACGGUACCUGCAGAAAAAGCACCGGCUAACUACGUGCCAGCCGCCGCGGUAA